UCUGCAAUUUACUCCGAGAACGCGGUGCGCGUCGGGGAAAGCCUGCCCUUCCACAGGCAUCGGGCCGCUGCCGCUGCCGAGGCGUCGACAGAAAAGCCGCUGGAGCUGUACGCCUUCCGCUCCGUGAGGGUGGUCGAGGGGUCCAGUUUCGUCGUGUGCCGGGGAGAAGCCGGCGAAGGGGCCGUGUACGGCUGCCGCGCCACCGGCCCGGUGAGGGCCUACGUCCUGGCCCUGGAUGGCAAGCGCCGGGACGUGGCGAUGACCGCGGUUGCCGUGUGCCGCACCGACGCGUCCCAGUGGGACCCGGAGCAUGCCACCUUCCCGCUCCUCGGCGUGAAGCCCGGCGGCGCGGCGGUCUGCCACGUGGUGCCGGAAGCGCAGGUCCUGCCGGCCAUGAACGGGAAGAGCCCCGCCACCAACUAA
rnacentral:rRNA from 1 species